CCCCGGGUGGCUCAGUCGGUUGAGCGUCCGACUUCGGCUCAGGUCAUGAUCUCGCGGUUUGUGGGUUUGAGCCCCGCCUCGGGCU
rnacentral:tRNA from 1 species